UAUGGUAGCCUCCGACCAAUCACUUUCCAUCAAUCAAAGACAAUGUUUCCAUCGGGUCUUGACUCAAUCUUCAUCAGCGAUCUCGGCUUCAAUAAUGAUCCAAAAAGAGGGAAUCUCAUUUUUGUUUCAAUUCUUUGUUUAUUUUCAUACAAGCCUUAUCUUCAACACAUUAUGCUUCUUGGUUCAUUAUUUUGAAAUAUGACAGUGAUUUAGAAUGAGGGCAUGAAGUCCGCAAGAAUGUCAUAUUAUUAAAAUCUACAUUUACAUUACUGAAAAGAAAAUAAGAAAGGUGAAGAGAUUGAGAAAAGAGACAUUCAUGGAUGAUGAAAUGUUGAUUUAUUUGUAUUCUAAGAUAGAAGGGUUUAUAUUAUAAAGUAAGACAAUAAAGUAAAACAUCUAGAUUACACCCUGAAAUAAUCUGGACGUAGAAAAGACAGCAAGAUCGAUUGCCGAUAUUUCUAUCUGAGCUAGAACUUUUCAUGGCUUGGGGACCAUUUUAUGUUUCUCUUCUGCCGCGCCAAUGGCUACCCACAUUUUCCUUAAGGUUUUAUAUUUCACCGCCAACUUGCUUUUUCGUGAUCUUGGAUCAACAAUAGUGGUGCUUGAUCCAUUUAUUGAGAAGAUGCUUUUACUUUCG
rnacentral:lncRNA from 1 species